rnacentral:rRNA from 1 species
UACGUAGGGGCCUAGCGUUGUCCGGAUUUAUUGGGCGUAAAGAGCUCGUAGGCGGUUUGGUGAGUCGGGUGUGAAAUCUCCACGCUCAACGUGGAGGGGCCACCCGAUACUGCCAUGACUAGAGUCCGGUAGGGGAGUGUGGAAUUCCCGGUGUAGCGGUGAAAUGCGCAGAUAUCAGGAAGAACACCAAUGGCGAAAGCAGCUCUCUGGGACGGUACUGACGCUGAGACGCGAAAGCGUGGGGAGCAAACAGG